UAUGUGAUCGUCUCUCGCAUAUCAAUAAGCGGAGGAAAAGAAACUAUCAAGGAUUCCUCUAGUAACGGCGAGUGAAGCGGGAAGAGCUCAAAUCUGAAAUCUUAAAGGGUUUCCCUUUACGAAUUGUAGUUUAAAGAAGUGUUUUCUGUUGAGGUUUUGGUAAAAGUUCUUUGGAAUAGGACAUCAUAGAGGGUGAGAAUCCCGUAUUUGACCUUUACUUUCAACUUUGUGAUACACUUUCAAAGAGUCGGAUUGUUUGGGAAUGCAGUCCAAAAUGGGUGGUAAAUUUCAUCUAAAGCUAAAUAUUGGCGAGAGACCGAUAGCGAACAAGUACCGUGAGGGAAAGAUGAAAAGAACUUUGAAAAGAGAGUUAAACAGUACGUGAAAUUGUCAAAAGGGAAGCGUUUGACACCAGUGUUGUUUUUCUGAAAAUCAAUUAAAGAACUGUUUAUGCUAAGUUGUUUAGACUUUAUCAGCUAACUGUUUAGUUUUGAGCUUUUCUUUAAUGCACUUUUCAGUUAACAAGUCAACAUCAAUUUCUUUCGCUGUAAAAAAGCUUGAGGAAGGUGGCUUGAGAUUCGUCUUAAGUGUUUAUAGCCUCUUGCCUAUGCAGUCGGAGAGAUUGAGGUCUGCAGCGUAGAUCCUUCGGGGCUAAAUGCAUUUGUGCUAAGUUAUAACAUUUUAUAGACAACAUUGUUGACUAUGAUUUGUCUUGUAGCUUACUCGCUUAUGUUAUUUUACCUACGCUUAGGAUGUUGAAGUCAUCGUAUCGCGC
rnacentral:rRNA from 1 species